ACAUUAUUUCACAAGUUAACAAUAUUUUAUAUAGGUAUGGGUGGUUCUCCUCUCCUUAAUAUGGCUCCUUUUGGAGAUAAUCAGUUUUGGAGGGAAGCCAUCCUAUAUUUGGCACAUUUCACAAAAUUUCAUUUCAAAAUGUUCAUUCUUAAGUUUGCAUUUAGAUGCUUUGGGUCUGCUCGGACAAAGGCGACCCGAAGCGGAUUUAUGGAGAUAAUAUAUACAUGGAGUAUAUACGAGGAGUAUUAUACACAGUAUAUAUGGAGCUAUAUAUAUACUCAGGAGUAUAAUACAUGGAGAUUGGACAGUAUAUAUGGAGAUAUAUAUAUACUGAGGAGUAUUGAUAUUUUCAAUGGAGGUUGGAUAUAGUAUAUAUGGAGCUAUAUAUAUACUAGAUUAUGCGUGGUACAUAUGUAAAAUAAUAAUAAUAAUAAAUUGUAAUUACUUUAAGCAAGCGUGACACCAUCCUGUCAUUGAUGCCUAGAUUUUUCAAAAAUUCCAUGUGGCAACUCUUGAAAACCAGUGGAAUUCUAACUAUCUUUUACUGCGGUCAAUAAACUGCCAAAAUAUUACACUAAAUUACCAAUACAUGUUAUUUAACAGUAUUCAUACAAACAUGAAUAAAAUGACUGUGUACUUUUAA